rnacentral:rRNA from 1 species
AUGUCAUUCUGGUGGAUGAAUCCCUUGAUGAAGAAGGGUUACAGAAAGCCUCUUGAAGAGAAAGACAUACCUGCGUUGGAUGUUGCAGAUCAAGCAGGCACUCAGUACUCAAUGUUUGUGGACAAAAUCAAUGCUAAGCAAUCAUCUCUUUUCUGGGUAAUUGUUUCAUGCUACAAAAGGGACAUUCUGUUUUCUGGGUUCUUCGCAUUGCUCAAGGUACUCACUCUAUCUUCUGGUCCGUUGCUCGUAAAGGAAUUUAUCAAUGUAUCCUCAGGAAAAGAAGCUUUCAAGCAUGAAGGUGUUGUUAUAGCACUUGGACUUCUUCUGUCUAAAUGCUUGGAGUCAUUAGCCCAGAGACAGUGGUAUUUUCAAACACGGAGGGUGGGAAUCCAAGUGCGGUCACUCUUGUCAGCUUCUAUUUACCGAAAGCAACAGAAAUUAUCAUGCUUUGCCAGUAUAAAACAUUCUUCUGGAGAGAUAAUGAACUAUCUCAUAGUAGAUGCGUACAGGGUUGGGGAGUUUCCUUUCUGGUUCCAUCGGACAUGGACUACCGGCUUCCAACUUGGCAUUGCCUUGGCAGUACUAUACGAUGCAGUUGGUCCUGCAACAAUAGCAUCUGUUCUUGUUAUAAUGCUUACUGUUCUACUGAAUGCCCCUCUGGCCAGGCAACAGCAAGAUUUCCAGAAGAAACUCAUGGAAGCUCAAGACAUGAGGUUGAAAGCUAUGUCUGAGUCUCUUGUGAACAUGAAGGUCCUGAAGCUUUAUGCAUGGGAGGCCCACUUCAAGAGUGUUAUAGAACAUCUUAGGGAGUUGGAGCUAAAAUGGUUGUCAGCAUUCCAACUAGGAAAAGCAUAUACUAGUGUUGUCUUCUGGGCAUCACCUGCACUUGUUUCAGCGGCAACAUUUAUCGCAUGCUAUUUUCUGGGAGUCCCACUUAAUCCUAGCAAUGUAUUCACCUUUGUAGCUGCACUGCGCCUUGUUCAGGACCCUAUCAAUCAUAUUCCAAACGUUAUUGGCUCUGUAAUUCAAGCAAGGGUUGCAUUCUCUCGGAUAAGCAGUUUUCUUGGUGAAUCUGAGCUGCCAAAGGAUCAAAUUUCGAUGGAGCAUUGUGUGUGUAGUCAGUAUCCUAUAGUAUUCAAAUCUGGCUGUUUCUCAUGGGACAGCUCAGGAAAUCCAAAUCCGAGGAAUAUUAAUUUGGAGGUGAAAGCAGGAACGAAGGUAGCAAUCUGUGGCGAGGUUGGCUCAGGAAAAUCCACUCUUUUGGCAGCUAUUCUGGGAGAGGUCCCAAGGACAGAAGGAAUGAGUCAUGUUUGUGGGAAAAUAGCAUAUGUUUCUCAGGAUGCAUGGAUUCAAACAGGAACUUUGCAGAACAUACUUUUUGGGUCUAACAUGGACAAGCAAAGAUAUGAAGAGACUCUCCGGCGGUGUUCUUUGGUGUAUGACCUUGAAAGCUUGCCUUUUGGUGACCGUACUCAAAUUGGGGAAAGAGGAGUUAAUCUUAGUGGAGGACAGAAGCAACGUGUCCAAUUAGCUCGCGCAUUGUAUCAUGAUGCAGAUAUAUAUCUUUUGGAUGAUCCUUUCAGCUGCGUUGAUGCACAUACUGCUUCAAGUCUUUUAAAUGAAUAUGUGAUGGGAGCUUUAUCUGAAAAGACAGUUCUAUUAGUAACCCACCAAGUGGAGUUCCUACACGCAUUUGAUUCUGUUGUCUUAAUGUCCCAUGGGCAGAUCAUGCAUGCUACUUCAUACCAAGAACUGCUAGUGUCUUCCAAACAAUUUCAGGACCUUGUGAAAGCACAUGAAGUCACUACAGACUUUCCUAAUGUUAAAAGAAUGGCUUAUAAUGUAGGCAAGCAGUUUGAGAGGAACGCCUGUGUUAUUCACGGUACGGCAAAAGAAUCCAUCAAGUCAUCAGCAUCUGAUCAACUAAUUAAAACAGAGGGGAGAGAAAUUGGUGACACUGGACUGAAGCCUUAUUUAAUGUAUUUGGGCCAGAAAAAGGGCUACAUAUAUGCUAGUCUUGUGUAUACAGCCAUUGGAUUUGGUUCAAUCAUUUUCUUGCUAUCUAGAGCUCUGUUAGUAGUUGAUCUUGGUCUCCGGACAUCAGGACCUCUAUUUGCCCAACUACUUAGUGGCCUAUUCUGUGCACCCAUGUCUUUCUACCAUUCCACUCCACUUGGAAGGAUACUUAGCCGUGUAUCAUCUGACUUAAGCAUCAUCGAUCUUGAUCUUCCAUUUACGAUGUCCUUCAGUAUUUGUGCCACACUAAAUGCAUAUAUCAAUUCGAGUGUUUUGUGCUUCUUUACCUGGCAAAUUUUGCUUGUUGCUGCACCUGUUAUCAUCAUGGCUGUCAAGUUGCAGAGAUACUACUUAGCCUCCUCAAAGGAAUUGAUGAGGAUCAAUGGCACUACAAAAUCUCUAGUGGCCAAUCAUCUUGGAGAAUCGAUUGCAGGAGCAGUUACAAUAAGAGCCUUUAAGCAAGAAGAUCGUUUUUUUGCUAAAAGUUUGGAUCUUAUCGACAAUAAUGCAAGCCCAUCUUUUCACUGCUUUGCUGCAACUGAAUGGUUGACUCAACGUUUGGAGAUAAUGGGUGCUGCUAUUCUUUCCUUGUCCGCACUUGUUAUUACUCUUCUUCCUGCAGGAACUUAUAGCCCUGGUUCUGUAGGGAUGUUGCUCUCUUAUGGUCUGUCACUUAAUAUGUUAUUCCUGUUCUCUAUACAAAAUCAAUGUUCUCUUGCAAAUCAAAUAAUCUCUGUUGAAAGGUUGAGCCAAUACAUGGGUAUUAUAAAAUAUAAUCAAGAUGCUUCUCCAGUACUUCAUGGAAUUACUUGCACAUUUCAAGGUGGCGACAAGAUUGGGAUAGUCGGUCGAACAGGAAGUGGCAAGACAAGUUUGAUAAAUGCAAUUUUUCGUCUUGUUGAGCCUUCUGGAGGAAAGAUAAUCAUUGAUGACUACGACAUCACAGAAAUGGGGUUACAUGACUUACGAUCUCGAAUUGGUCUUAUCCCUCAAGAUCCUAUACUCUUUUAUGGUUCCAUAAGAUAUAAUUUGGAUCCUCAAGGGCGUUUCUCGGAUGAACAAAUCUGGGAAGUUCUAGGCAAAUGUCAACUAAUUGAAGCAGUUAAAGACAAGCAAGGAUUGGAUUCACAUAUUGUGGAGGGAGGAUCAAACUGGAGCAUGGGCCAAAGGCAGUUACUUUGCUUGGCCCGUGCGCUAUUGAGAAGAAACUGCAUCUUGAUCCUUGAUGAGGCAACAGCAUCCAUUGAUACUGCAACUGAUGCUAUUAUUCAGAAGAUAAUCAGGACGGAAUUCAAGGACAGCACAGUUAUCACAGUUGCACAUCGGAUACCAACAGUGGUGGACUGCACCUGGGUACUUGUUAUUAACAACGGCAAAAUGGUAGAAUACGAUCGACCUCACACACUGAUGGAGAUGGAAGGAUCUUUUUUUAAGGAGCUUCUGUACGAGUACUGGCUGCAAGCAUCGAAAGGAGGCUUGUAG